UACGUAGGGGGCAAGCGUUGUCCGGAAUCAUUGGGCGUAAAGAGCGUGUAGGCGGCUCGGUAAGUCCGCUGUGAAAGUCCAGGGCUCAACCCUGGAAUGUCGGUGGAAACUGUCGAGCUAGAGUCCGGAAGAGGCGAGUGGAAUUCCUGGUGUAGCGGUGAAAUGCGCAGAUAUCAGGAGGAACACCAAUGGCGAAGGCAGCUCGCUGGGACGGUACUGACACUGAGACGCGAAAGCGUGGGGAGCAAACAGG
rnacentral:rRNA from 1 species